rnacentral:rRNA from 1 species
UACCUAUAAGACUGGGAUAACUUCGGGAAACCGGAGCUAAUACCGGAUAACAUUUGGAACCGCAUGGUUCUAAAGUGAAAGAUGGUUUUGCUAUCACUUAUAGAUGGACCCGCGCCGUAUUAGCUAGUUGGUAAGGUAACGGCUUACCAAGGCGACGAUACGUAGCCGACCUGAGAGGGUGAUCGGCCACACUGGAACUGAGACACGGUCCAGACUCCUACGGGAGGCAGCAGUAGGGAAUCUUCCGCAAUGGGCGAAAGCCUGACGGAGCAACGCCGCGUGAGUGAUGAAGGGUUUCGGCUCGUAAAACUCUGUUAUUAGGGAAGAACAAAUGUGUAAGUAACUGUGCACAUCUUGACGGUACCUAAUCAGAAAGCCACGGCUAACUACGUGCCAGCAGCCGCGGUAAUACGUAGGUGGCAAGCGUUAUCCGGAAUUAUUGGGCGUAAAGCGCGCGUAGGCGGUUUCUUAAGUCUGAUGUGAAAGCCCACGGCUCAACCGUGGAGGGUCAUUGGAAACUGGGAAACUUGAGUGCAGAAGAGGAAAGUGGAAUUCCAUGUGUAGCGGUGAAAUGCGCAGAGAUAUGGAGGAACACCAGUGGCGAAGGCGACUUUCUGGUCUGUAACUGACGCUGAUGUGCGAAAGCGUGGGGAUCAAACAGGAUUAGAUACCCUGGUAGUCCACGCCGUAAACGAUGAGUGCUAAGUGUUAGGGGGUUUCCGCCCCUUAGUGCUGCAGCUAACGCAUUAAGCACUCCGCCUGGGGAGUACGACCGCAAGGUUGAAACUCAAAGGAAUUGACGGGGACCCGCACAAGCGGUGGAGCAUGUGGUUUAAUUCGAAGCAACGCGAAGAACCUUACCAAAUCUUGACAUCCUUUGAAAACUCUAGAGAUAGAGCCUUCCCCUUCGGGGGACAAAGUGACAGGUGGUGCAUGGUUGUCGUCAGCUCGUGUCGUGAGAUGUUGGGUUAAGUCCCGCAACGAGCGCAACCCUUAAGCUUAGUUGCCAUCAUUAAGUUGGGCACUCUAGGUUGACUGCCGGUGACAAACCGGAGGAAGGUGGGGAUGACGUCAAAUCAUCAUGCCCCUUAUGAUUUGGGCUACACACGUGCUACAAUGGACAAUACAAAGGGCAGCUAAACCGCGAGGUCAUGCAAAUCCCAUAAAGUUGUUCUCAGUUCGGAUUGUAGUCUGCAACUCGACUACAUGAAGCUGGAAUCGCUAGUAAUCGUAGAUCAGCAUGCUACGGUGAAUACGUUCCCGGGUCUUGUAC